GACGAACGCUGGCGGCGUGCUUAACACAUGCAAGUCGAACGGAAAGGCCCUGCUUGCAGGGUACUCGAGUGGCGAACGGGUGAGUAACACGUGGGUGAUCUGCCCUGCACUUCGGGAUAAGCUUGGGAAACUGGGUCUAAUACCGGAUAGGAGCCAUCUUUAGUGUGGUGGUUGGAAAGUUUUUUCGGUGUAGGAUGAGCUCGCGGCCUAUCAGCUUGUUGGUGGGGUAAUGGCCUACCAAGGCGGCGACGGGUAGCCGGCCUGAGAGGGUGUACGGCCACAUUGGGACUGAGAUACGGGCCAGACUCCUACGGGAGGCAGCAGUGGGGAAUAUUGCACAAUGGGCGCAAGCCUGAUGCAGCGACGCCGCGUGGGGGAUGAGGGCCUUCGGGUUGUAAACUCCUUUCGCUAGGGACGAAGCUUUUUUGUGACGGUACCUAGAUAAGAAGCACCGGCUAACUACGUG
rnacentral:rRNA from 1 species